ACAAGCAGGUCUAUUGCACUUUUAUCGGUUUUUUAUUAUCAGUUUUAUAGAAUUUUCGAUAUUAUGAGAAAAUAUGACACAAUCACAAACCUGCAUGCUCAUCCUGAAAAAUAACUACGAAGAAUCCGAAAAUUAAGAUAAAAUUGGUUUAUUCCAGUAUUUAAAGAGUAAAUCUAUUCAUUU
ensembl:snoRNA C36E8.11 ncRNA